rnacentral:rRNA from 1 species
UGAAGAGUUUGAUCCUGGCUCAGAUUGAACGCUGGCGGCAUGCCUUACACAUGCAAGUCGAACGGCAGCACGGGGGCAACCCUGGUGGCGAGUGGCGAACGGGUGAGUAAUACAUCGGAACGUGUCCUGUAGUGGGGGAUAGCCCGGCGAAAGCCGGAUUAAUACCGCAUACGCUCUACGGAGGAAAGGGGGGGAUCUUAGGACCUCCCGCUACAGGGGCGGCCGAUGGCAGAUUAGCUAGUUGGUGGGGUAAAGGCCUACCAAGGCGACGAUCUGUAGCUGGUCUGAGAGGACGACCAGCCACACUGGGACUGAGACACGGCCCAGACUCCUACGGGAGGCAGCAGUGGGGAAUUUUGGACAAUGGGCGAAAGCCUGAUCCAGCAAUGCCGCGUGUGUGAAGAAGGCCUUCGGGUUGUAAAGCACUUUUGUCCGGAAAGAAAA